rnacentral:snRNA from 1 species
AUUUCAGUGCAUUUCUAUAAGGAC